rnacentral:tRNA from 1 species
GAGGAUAUAGCUCAGCGGUAGAGUGCGUGCCUGGCAUACAUGAGGUCCUGGGUUCAAUCCCCAGUGCCUCCA